UUUAUAAAAUGUAUUAAAGAACUCUCAAGAUUUCUGAAACAUCCUGUGCCUAUGCUGCCUGAUAUACUUGAUUUCACAGCUAGGCUCUUGGAGCACCAAUGAAAAUUGAUGGCUCGGGCUAUCUUUUGAUGGAUAAGAUGAACCUAGAUUCACAGACAUUGAUCACAGUUGAUGAAAGUAAAUUCCAAGGACUCUUUAUACUAAAAGUCACUGAUGAAAGGCAAGAGCUGGAUGUGGUGCUAACCCAUAACAUCCAAGGAGCUGCUGACAUUGGCAUUCCCAUGAGGAUGUUACUUGAUGUGGUAUCAGAAAAAAAUAGUGACUUCUAUAAAGGAUUUAUUAAUUUCUGUGUGAACAACAAGCAAGUAAGUGUCUUCUCC